GGUGGCGCCGCCGGGCGCCGGGCGCCAUGAGGGUGCGCUAGGCGGCUGUUCGUGCACGAGGCUGCGCAGCGGUGAGCUUUGCCUUCUUGAUCUUCCGUCCUUCUUGGAGACGACUGGUGAGAGGAAGAGGGACUAGGUCCAAACGCUAGGUGGCUGGGUCCAGGUGAUUGGACCAGACUGGAUACCUUAGAGCAGUGGUUCUCAAAGAACAGCUCCUGGAGUGAUUGUAGGAAUGCUUCUUUCCUGGGGAACCACAGACCUCCUGAGUCAUCCCACCUGGAAAGAGAGAGGCAGGAGAAUGGAGCAAACAAGAAGAGAGACGAGACCACACACCACGCUGUCCCUGGGAGACGAAGAGAGUAACCUCCUCGGUUCCUGACUUUAAAGUUCUCAAUUCCAGCCCCCUUUUAAUGAGCCGGAGACUCACACCAAGGAGGAGAUCAUCGAGCUCUUGGUCCUUGAGCAGUACCUGACCAUCAUCCCUGAAAAGCUCAAGCCUUGGGUGCGAGCAAAAAAGCCGGAGAACUGUGAGAAGCUCGUCACUCUGCUGGAGAAUUACAAGGAG
rnacentral:sRNA from 1 species